AAAGAUGUGACAUUUCUCUUAAGAGACUUAUUUUUCAUUUGGAAUAAGCAGUAAUUUCCCUCUAUCAAAGUCUUGAACUAAACUGAAGUUUGGCAAAUUAUAGGCAACAUUAGACUUUCCAUCUUCCUUUGAGUUUAACACUUGGCAAUCAUUCAACUGUGAUUAAUAUCCCAGUUACCUUUAAGUUAGAUUUUCAUCUUACGUGGCAAGUUAGAUUUGCAUUUUACAUAGAACCCUCUGUGGUCCUUGGGCUUGAAAUAGCUGUUGGAAGUCUUUUUUUUUUUUCUUUUCUUUUUUUUUUUUUUUUAAGCUUUAUUCUAUAAUAGAAACCCAUAGUCAGUCUUUAUUAAGAGAGCAAUAGGUCUGCAUCUUAAUUGCACCUUAGAAUCAAAUUAGUUUGGGAUGUAGCUUAGAGGGGCUUUUUUGUUUUUUAAGUUCUGCAGAUGAUUUGAAUGUAAAUGAAAUUAACCACUGGUAUAGAGCAUUUACAAUCAUUUGAAUUUAAAAAAAAAAAAACAACUAGAUUCUACCCCAAAAUAAUUGAAGCUAUCCCUAGUGGUGCUUUUUGUUUUGAUAAAAUAUUAAUGUGUAGUAAAGGUUAAGAACAUGCUUAUGGCCUGGCCUGCAUGUUUCAGUGGUUGAGCAUUGAUCAAGGAACCAAAGAUCACUGGUUGGAUUCCUGGUUAGGGUACAUGCCUGGGUUGCAGGCUCUAUCCUCAAUAGGGGGCAUGCAGGAGGCACCCGAUUGAUAAUUUUUCUCAUUGGUGUUCUAUCUCUUUAUGCCUCUUCCUUCCUCUCUAUAUAGAAAUAAAAUAUCUUUAAAAAAAAAUCUACGAAUUCUCAGAUAAUCUUGUAAAAAUACAGAUCCUAACUCAUAAGAUGGGGGCUGGAACAUGAGAUUUCUCAUUUUUAACAAGUGGCCAUUUGAUGCAUAUCUUCCAGUCUGCAGAUCACACUUUUAUUUUUAAUUGUGUAUAUAAUUAACCUGGAUUUCUAGUUUAUCAUAUCCAAAUUUAAAAGUAGUCAAGGUAAGUCCUGACCAGGUAGCUAGCUCAGUUAAGAGUGUCAUCCCAAUAUGUCAAGGUUGUGGGUUCAAUUUUUGAUGUUUCUCAGCAAGACCCAGACUGAAUCCCUCUCUUUGCCCAGCACAGGACAAUACACCCAUUGAGUGAUAAGUCUAAGUUUCUUAGGAAAGUUGAAUCAAAAAGGACAACUUAGCUUUAGCAAAUCAUAGAGCGGAGAGACCUCUAGAGGUGAUAAGAGUUCCUAAUGGUUAUACUUGAUUUUUUUUCCCCUUUGCACCCCCCUAACCUGUUUUUUAGUGACUUAUUCUAAUAUUUUUUACCAUUUAUUUCUAAUAUAUUUUCAAUACUGAAUUUUUAAAGGUCCAUCAAGGCUGGAAAAAUAGCCUAGAUAUAAAACUUUCUCCCAAGUUUCCUAUAAAUCAACCUUUUCAGAUACAUUCUCCUUGAACUUCUAUUUGACCUGAUCUGAGUGUGACUUGAUCUAGGUUAUCUAUAUUAAUAAAAGGGUAAUAUGCUAAUUAGACCCUACAUUCUUACAGACAAGCCGGGGCCUGGGGGCCUGGGGGCCUGCCGUUGGGGCUGGAGCAAAAGCUGGGGCCUGCAGUCAGGGGAAGGAAAGUCUACUCUUGCACAAAUUUUCAUACAUCAGGCCUCUAGUACAAGAAUAAACUGUGUUUUGCAUGUUCACAACUAUAAACCUACUUUUGCCAAACUCUGUAUUGAUAGAACCCUUACCUUGGAAUUUUACUUAUUUUUCUAUUAUUCUUGAACUCAGUUACCAGCCAUUUCAUCUGUGUUCUCAUAAGUAUCUGGCUUAUCUUCAUUUAUGGACUGGCUAUGUCAGGCACUUUGCUAGUCCUAAGGCCCUUUUCUGUGUAACUUCUCUUCUUGCCUCUAAACUCUCUCCCCAUGUGGACCGUAUGUAGGUUCAUAUAACACCAGGUCUUUUUAAGUAGGUACACAGUGUCCCUGGGUUUUAUAUCCACAGAUUAAACCAACUAUGGAUUGAAAAUACUGUUUUCAUGGUUGGGAAUCCAUUGAUGUGGAGCGCCAACUGUAUGCUUUAUUAUAUAAGGGACUUGAGCAUUUGUUGAUUUUGGUAUCUACAGGGAGUCCUGGAAACAAUUCCCUUCAAGGUACAAUUGGGGAGUCAAAAGCUAUACACAGAUUUUCAACUGUGAGGGCAUUCGGUCCCCUAAGUCCAGUAUUGUUCAGAGAUUGUCAAUGCAGUUGCCAGAACUGGUCAUUCCAACUGAAAUUUUCACUAACACAUUGUUGGUUUCUUGGUCCCCACCAAAC